rnacentral:snRNA from 1 species
ACGAUAUCUUCCAUUUCUCUA